ACCAUGCCACCUCCUCUGCAGGGGUAGACACGCCCUACAGUAUAAGAACCUAAUGCGCCAGAUUGUCAAGCCCGGGGCGGCUAGGGUGCACGCAUGCAGGCACAGGGGCCUUUCCAGCGCUGCGCCACACACCGCACCCUACAUUCCCAAGCAUCGCAGCGAGUCGCCGCUCCGACCUCCAGUCUGCCCUCACAACCCCUGCCCAUUUCCACAUUCGCACUAACCUCACACGCACAAAUCGUGAUAAGCUCCACGGCCACACCGGCCAGCCAACACCGCCAGCGUAAGCGCACCACGCACCAGCAACAAAGCCGCUGCUGCUCCGCUCCUCCCACACUCCUCCCCCA
rnacentral:lncRNA from 1 species